rnacentral:rRNA from 1 species
UACAUAGGGGGCAAGCGUUGUUCGGAAUUACUGGGCGUAAAGGGCGCGUAGGCGGUCUUCUAAGUCGGACGUGAAAUCCCCGGGCUCAACCCGGGAACUGCGUCCGAUACUGGAAGGCUUGAAUCCGGGAGAGGGAUGCGGAAUUCCAGGUGUAGCGGUGAAAUGCGUAGAUAUCUGGAGGAACACCGGUGGCGAAGGCGGCAUCCUGGACCGGCAUUGACGCUGAGGCGCGAAAGCCAGGGGAGCAAACGGG